AUUGAACGCUGGCGGCAGGCCUAACACAUGCAAGUCGAACGAGUGGCGGACGGGUGAGUAAUGUCUGGGAAACUGCCUGAUGGAGGGGGAUAACUACUGGAACCGGUAGCUAAUACCGCAUACCAUCAGAUGUGCCCAGAUGGGAUUAGCUAGGUGGUGGGGUAACGGCUAACCAAGGCGACGAUCCCUAGCUGGUCCGGGAGGAUGACCAGCCACACUGGAACUGUGACACGGUCCAGACUCCUACGUGAGGCAGCAGUGGGGAAUAUUCGACAAUGGGCGCAAGCCUGAUGCAGCCAGGCCGCGUGUAUGAAGAAGGCCUUCGGGUUGUAAAGUACUUUCAGCGGGGAGGCGGUACCCGCAGAAGAAGCACCGGCUAACUCCGUGCCAGCAGCCGCGGUAAUUC
rnacentral:rRNA from 1 species